AUUGGGUGCGAAUAAAAAAAACGAACGAAUGAACGGCACAAAAUAGAUGGGUUUUACAUAUUGUAAAGUUCGUUACUCAAAAAAUUUAAAUGCUUAACAUCGAGAGGCUUGUUAAUUUUGUCGUUGACAUUUGAUUAAGACACCAAGAGAAUAGAUGACGUUGGACUAUAACGGCGACUGAUAACUGAGCUAUUAAAACUAUUUUCGCUAUUUGUUGUUUACCUAAGCUUUUGAUAAGUAAUUUUGUGGAAAAUAUAAAUAAUCAUAUAGUUGAAUCAUCAAUUAUCAAUUGAUACUGGAUACGUUGGAAGGUUAUACACAAUCAUUGGACUUGCCUGAUCGCUUACCAGACACACAAUAUGCUGGAAACUUUGAAUCGCUGAUCCCAGAUAGAAAGUCCAGAAUAGUCAAGCGAAAAGCUAGUGCAAAUACCAGUAGGAAUCCGUUGUGAAGACCCAGAGACAGAGAAAUAUGUAUAUAAGCUUAGAGGCAGAAGUCCGAGCAAUAAUCGAAUAUGUAAAUUGGAUUAGAAUAAAUGUGGUGCCCACAACCUUUGAUAUUUAUCGACAGCCAUAAGAAACAAUAUGAUAAAUAAACAUUGUUCCCACACCAAUGUUUCACACCAGUGUACACUUAAUAAGGUAGCCUCGUCGCUACAACAAAUACAACAAUACAAAAACAACAGGCGAUUUGUUAUUGUAGAAUAAUCCCAUCUGUCAAAAAAAGCUGUGUG